rnacentral:sRNA from 1 species
UAUGAGUUUGAUUUCCUGUCUGGGACCUCACUCAAGCAUAAACAAAUGUUAACAAUCCACAGAACAAACAUAUCAAACAAAGUGACAGUGAUAUUUUCUUUGGAAUGCAAAGCCUUAAGUGGUAUCUUUCCUGUAUAAUGUAACUGCGGCUUGCUAUGGCUAUCUAGAGAUGUCUUUGGAUAAAGUUUUGGAAGACGAGGUUGUUGAAGAUACAGGGGAAUCACAAGUCUUUAACUUGCUUAAUCCAGCAUUUGUAGACUUUGAUACUUGUUUAGAUCCUAUCACAAACGAAAUUCCAACUUUCGGUGACUGAAAAAAAGAUGCAAGUACAAAACUUUAUCAUAUAAUAAUAAGAGCUAGCAACAUGUAUACUAUUUGAGUUUUUUUAGAGUUUUUAAGCCAAUCAGAAGGCUCUAUUUCGUACCGAAUCGCAGAAAGAGCGCGUUGAGCGAGUGAAAGCGAUUCUGUGGGUAAACCCUUUUCCAAUUCAUGCUUUUUUUUAUCGACGCACAUCUCUCCAAAUUCUCCAUCGCGUGACUCUUUUAGUUUUUUUCCACAAAACCAAUGAAACCGAACCGAAAUCAGUUUUAAUUUCAAAACCAAUGCAAACCAAACCGAAUCAGCAAAUAGUGUGAAGCAACAAUUCUGGACAUAAAUUUUCACAACAUUUCAACAACGGGAAAAAGAGAAAACACCACAACUCAAAAUCACAAAGAACAAUCUACUGCUUCAGUUAAACAUGAAAAACGAUUAGACUUACCAGUUGAAAUCUGAAAGCAUGAAUCUCGUUGUGAGCUCUUCGUGUUUGCCUCGUCCUUUUAUUAUCUUUCUUAUUUUCUCUUCUUUGU